rnacentral:lncRNA from 1 species
CAGUGUAAUUACUUAUCAAAACAUGUUUUAAGCUACAGCAUCUCUGUUAAAUUUAGAAAUGUGAAACAUGGAAGAGUUAUCAACUUGGAAUACAAUACUAAAACUGAAUAUAACUGACCCAAAACUACCUGUCAAAAGCACAGUAAAGCUUAACAGGCAUAAAAACUAAGGGGUAAAACCCAACUGCUCUGACAUAAGAGUGAAAAACAGCAAAUGCAAACCAUCAGGUUAAAGUGAAUCACAAAACAUUAGGCAUGUAGAGCAUGUUUUAAAAAUAGGAAAAUGACACUGAGCUGUAUUACCA